rnacentral:rRNA from 1 species
GACGAACGCUGGCGGCGUGCUUAAUACAUGCAAGUAGAACGGAAAGGCCCGGCGUUUGUGGUGUGCUCGAGUGGCGAAAGGGUGAGUAUCACGUGAGUAACCUGUCCUUGACUUUGGGAUAACUUCAGGAAACUGGGGCUAAUACCGGAUAGAAGCUCCUGCUGCAUGGUGGGGGUUGGUAAGUUUCGGCGGUUGGGGAUGGACUUGCGGCUUAUCAGCUUGUUGGUGGGGUAGUGGCGUACCAAGGCUCCGACGGGUAGCCGGCCUGAGAGGGUGACCGGCCACAUUGGGACUGGGAUGCGGCCCGGACUCCUACGGGAGGCAGCGGUGGGAAAUAUUGCACACUGGGCGGCAGCCUGAUGCAGCAACGCCGCGUGCGGGAUGACGGUCUUCGGGUUGUAACCCGUUUUCGCCUGUGACGAAGCGUGAGUGACGGUAAUGUGUAAAGAAGCACCGGCUAACUACGUG